UACGUAGGUGGCAAGCGUUGUCCGGAAUUAUUGGGCGUAAAGCGCGCGCAGGCGGUCCCUUAAGUCUGAUGUGAAAGCCCACGGCUCAACCGCGGAGGGUCAUUGGAAACUGGGGGACUUGAGUGCAGAAGAGGAAAGUGGAAUUCCAUGUGUAGCGGUGAAAUGCGUAGAGAUGUGGAGGAACACCAGUGGCGAAGGCGACUUUCUGGUCUGUAACUGACGCUGAGGCGCGAAAGCGUGGGGAGCAAACAGG
rnacentral:rRNA from 1 species